AACGCACAUUGCGCCCCCUGGUAUUCCGGGGGGCGUGCCUGUUCGAGCGUCAUUCCACCACUCAAGCCUCGCUUGGUAUUGGGCGACGCGGUCCGCCGCGCGCCUUAAAUCGACCGGCUGGGUCUUCUGUCCCCUAAGCGUUGUGGAAACUAUUCGCUAAAGGAGGUUCGGGAGGCUACGCCGUAAAACAACCCCAUCUCUAAGGUUGACCUCGGAUCAGGUAGGGAUACCCGCUGAACUUAA
rnacentral:misc_RNA from 1 species